CCGCUCACUGAUAGGUAAUCCGCAGUGAAGCGGUCACAUGGUAGGAUCACAUGACCGUGACGUCAGGUCCUUUCCGCGGAUAGGAACUAGCCGCUACCGAUGGCCUAUAUGGGUGCCGAGUGCGAGCAGGAUAAAAAGUUUAGGGUUCAUCGCGAUAGUUUUACCAGUAAUUUGCUACAUGAAGGCACACAGGAUGAUUGUAUUGGUAGCAAUAAAUUUUCUGCAAAUGAACGAGCAGCAGUAAAUAGGGCAUGUACGAUGAAGGAUUUUGAAAAGCAAAUAGCUGAACUGAAAAAAGAGAACUUCAACUUAAAACUACGAAUAUAUUUCCUGGAAGAACAAGUGCAACAGAAGUGUGACAACAGCAGUGAAGACUUGUAUAGAAUGAAUAUAGAAUUGAAAGUUGAAUUAGAAACUUCAAAACACGAUCUACAAGAGAAACAACAUCUGCUGAUCAAAGCCUCGAAAGCACUGGAAAAUCUUGCUGAAGAAAAUAGGUCUAAAAUCCUUCAGAUGAAGGAAGAUUUCAAUAAGAAUCUGCAAGCAUUAGAAUUUGAACUAAACCAGAAAAUUAGUGUUCUAGAAAAGGAAGUAUUAACAGCAAAUGAAGAAGCUGAUAAAAUUGCUGAAUUGUUGGAUCAGGAGCGAGAGCAAAGAUUUGCUUUAGAAAGUAAAGUUUUAGACUGCCAGGCACUUUAUUCCACACUCGGUGAAAGAGCCAGGACUAUUGAAAAUGGGAAUCCACAUCUGAAUUCUAAGGAUUCUUCAGUUGUUCAGUUUGAAAGUCAGAUGUCUGGCUGUGAGAGGUGUAAGAAAUACUUGAUCCAGAAGGAUGGUCUUGGAAUGGAUCUGUCCCCUUCAGAUCAGAAAUCUGGUGUAGGCCUGGAUCAGAACGAAAUACCAGAGGAUAGCGAUCAUAUAGCAUGUGACCUACAGAGCAAACUAGAUGAUAUGGAAAAGAAAAUAAGUGUACUCCAACAAAAACUUGGUGAAAAAGAAGCAGCACUUGUGCUACAUGAGGAAAAUGCAGUCAAAAGAGAUAAGACUAUUCAAGGCCUUACACUUGCUCUAAAGAAUAAGGAAAAAGAGGAACACCGAAAAUUUGAUUUUAAGACUGGUCUUAAAGAAUACAAGAAAUCAUAUUCACAGUCUGUGAACACAGAAGGAAAUCAAAAAGAACAUAACUCCGUUAUUCAGAGUAAGCUGGAAGACGAAAUCCAGUGUAACCAACAACAGAACACUAUUCUGCAAGACCAAGUCAACAAAUCAACAUUAAAAAAUGAUGAAUCUUCUUUAUUUUUUGGAGAUGAGACUUCUUAUUUAAGCAUAUGCUUAGAUCAUUCAGGUCUGAGAGGUGACCAGUUAUCAAUGGAGGAUUUACAAAACAUGGUGGUACAACUUAUGCACAAGAUUAAAGAAAUGCAAAAAAGCCCAGUUUUGGAGAAGGCUACUGGAUGCUCCGGUUAUUUAAAGAGCAAUGAUAACGAGACCGACUCUUCUACCAUGUGCAAUUUUGCAAAGAAAUCCAGAAUUCCCAUUCUUCAAAAAGAAACUUUGUGCAUGAAAAAAGUUCCAGAUAAUAGAAGAACGUUUUCUAAGACCAUCCUCCAAGAAGAGUUGCAAACCUGCAAGUUGGAAAAUGACAAAAUUGCUGAAGAAUUAUGGCAUGCACAGGAAGAGAUUGAGACUCUCAAGGCACACAUAAUCCUGUUAAAGGGCAAUGGCAUCACACCUCAGAGAGACCAUCAUGAACAUCCAUUUGAUAUGGACAAGACAAUCACAAACUCUGUAAGCUUAGUUGAAACUGAUGAAAUCAACAAUGCUGAGCAGGAAUUAUGUGCUUUUCAGUAUGACAAGAAUGCUGAAAGUGUGUUACCGCUAGUUACUGACUGCUAUGACAACGGCACUAAUAAUAAAAAUGAGAUGCAGUUUAUAGAUAAUUGUGUUGCUGAAACAUUAUUAAACGUUGAAAAAGAAAACAACUCCCCUAACAAUAAAUGUGAUCUCGAAGAUCUCUCCAAUGAGCCUCCAAAUUACAGAUAUGAUUUGUUGGUACAAGCUCAAGCUCGAGAGUUGUCAGUUCAGCGACAAAAGAUUAAGGAGAGCCACAUUUUAAGCAUUACAUGUUAUAAGAACUGUAUGAAAGUUUUAAAAGCUUUUGAUGAACUGCUGGAGGCCAGUGAUGUGGAUUACUAUGUUGCUGAGGCUUUUCAAGCACAUCUAAACAAGUUUCUUCAACGGAUUAAGAAAAUGGAAUACAAACUUGGCUAUGAUGAUGACACUUACAAUGACCAUUCGGGCAACACACCUUCAUGCCAGCUGCCUGGACAAGAUUUGCAGGGAGAUGAAAGUGGCUGUCAAGUUUUAGCCGUACUUAAUCAGUUAUUAGAAGGAGGCAAUAUGCUGCGAGAAAUGGAAGACUGUCUUGACCACUGUUUUCAGUCUUCAGCUGUACAAGUCUCAGAGGAAUUCCAAAAAAUGUUUUAUGAGAUGCUGCAUAAGACACAACAGUCUUUUGAAGAUGCCAGUCACCUGCUGAGGCUAUAUUGGAGGGAGCCUUUACCUAAUGAUUUGAAAUGCUCCCAAGCUAUUUAUGAGGAGGAAGAAAUCAAUAAUGAUAGCCUCAGACUUCAGAAUAAAGUGUUAGAAGAUAAAGCAUUUUCAAUUCAAGGUUUCUUUCAUGAAAAGCAUGCAGAGGAAGAAACGGACAAAAGUAUUUUGGAUCAUUCUGGGGGCGUGUCCGACCGCGCUGAGGAGAAGACGCUCCUUCUUGGUGUUCCCGGGGUCCAGCUCCCACAAAGCACCCUGUUGCUGCGGAAAAGCCCCACUGACUGCGCAAUACUGCACCGGAGGGGCCAUUGAACACCCCAGCUGCCGACCGCCGCAUAAAUCUCCCUCCCAGGUGCCGCUGCACCACGGUUUGACGCGGAGCAGUGCACAAACAGCACCAGCACUUGGCAACCCUCAGGGAAGGCACAACAGAGUAUGGUAAGUGCAGCCCAGACCCUGGGGCACCCUCCUUGCUGGUAUCAACACAAACUGAGCUGUUAUAACACACUAAGAUAAGAGACCACGCAGGCUGUACAACAUACAGUCAAGCACCAGGCAGGAGACGUGAGCAGUCCCCAGGGCAUACAUACCUGGCCCAAUCCUCAUUGCACCAAUUAGCUAGGCUGCAGGAGUACCCUGCAGCAAGGUAGGUCCCCCUACCUCAGGACAAUUUUUAGCAGCCAAGGCAAAUUUAAAGGGGCUGUACAGUAUAUAUAAUACCUGCCGAAUCUAUACGGGGCAAUUGACUCACAGCCAGCCUGUGACCAAAAACCAGGAUAAACCUGAAACUCAAAGAAAAUAAAGGGCAUGUGAGUUACAACACUGCCUACUGCAUCCAACCUAUUCCUGGCCAAAUUGUCGUGUGAGACAGGACAGAUAUUGCUAUUAGAUGCUACUAUGGACUGCAGGACAUCACUCUCCACUAAAAUAGAAGUUAAAAUUGACCUCUCGCUGCUCCUGGCUGAUCUCCAGAAUAUGCAUGAGAAAAUUGAGUCUUGAGCCUGGAAGACACCUGCAAUCCCUUCAGCAAUAGCUCGCAUGGAAACGAAACUCAAAGCUUGCACUGAUAAGCUGGACGACCAUGAGAACCGGCUGCGACGCAACAAUGUGUUUAUUGUGAGGCUCUCCGAGAGAGCAGAAGGGAAUGACCCAGUAGCCUUUGCCGAAAAAUGGCUGAGGGACACUUUCCCCACAGCCACCUUCUCAUCCUUCUAUGCGGUCGAACAAGCCCAUCACGUGCCAGUCCUCCUCCAGGGGCACCACCCAGACCCUUCCUAAUUCGACUGCUGAACUCCAGAGACCGGGACGCCAGACAAAGCCCAGACAUCAUAGUGGAAGGGAAAAAGGUAUACAUCUUCCCAGACUACUGAGCGGAACUUCAGAGGCAACGGGGCACCUUCACAGCCUGCGGGAGGCUAAUCUGAAAUAUGGCAUGCCUUAUCCGGCCAAGCAGAGGAUCCAAGCCGGUGAUAGAAUCAUGUUCUUCCACCUCGGCUCAAGAGGUAAACGAGUGGCUGGAUGCACAGAGAAAUCCGUCCCCCAGAGGCAGCCCUAAUCCCCCCAACUAAGAUGAUGGCCAACAGAAGGCGCUGCAGCAGGUGAGACCACUUCUAUUUACACUCCCCUGACUUAGCCAGACACCAUAUACUAAAACAUAUGGUUGAGACCCUAUGCCUAUAGCAACCAGCCUACUAGUGUUGCCUCUCUCACUGGUGAGGUAUGAGAACUCCCAUUGUUGGGUCAGCUUAGAACCCUCUUGGUUUUAGUAAAUAGCAAAAUAGCAAAUAUUAGCAAAUAUUACUAACUGGGCACUUUUACAUGCUCUGCAUCCCAUACCGAACUACACCAGUGUAAGAGACCCCUUAGCGGAAAUCGAUGCAGCAGCACCUUUAUUUCAAUUACUUUAACUAAACAUAUUCUGACAUUGCUCGUUCAGGCUUAUGCCUUACGCCCCAUGCCUCCAGGCAAGGGAGGACUGAUGGCAGCGUCCACUUACAUUUAGUACCCAAAGACAGAUGGAUGACAGCGGCUGGGGCGCCAGAGGCCCUGAAUAUGGGGUUGUUAUUAAAGGUCUCUUUUUGCUGUACUUCUGGAAUUUUGUAGACACUUGUGUUUCACUAUCAAAGAGACAUUUAACUACAAGGGACUCUUUUCAACCCAUUAUGACUAUAUUAUUUAGGUAUCACAGAGACUCAAACUUUACCCCUGUCUUAUCUAGUUUCAAAGUUACCUGUCCUUGGGUAACCAUUCCCCCGGUUACAAUGUUUUGGGAACAAUACCUGCCAAGUUACUGGGUCAGGUUGGGAGGGAAGGGUUUUAUGGGAUGUUGUUAUUAUGUUGAUUAUUUUUGGUUGCUAUGGUUCCUGCUUCGGCAUAUGACAAACUGUACUGCAAUGAAUAUUUUAAACCAGCUCACCUGUAAAAUAGAAUUCACAAAUGCUAAACAUGGGGGCCCACUUAAGUUUCUUUCCUGGAACAUCAGGGGGCUGAAUUCUAAAUUCAACAGAGCCUUAAUGUUUGACUAUGUCAAGAAGUAUGCACCUGAUGUUCUUCUCCUACAGGAAACACACCUGGUGGGCCAAAGAUUAAUGGCACUUAAGAAGCUGUGGGUCGCACACUCAUAUCAUGCCACCUUUUCUACUCAUGCCUGGGGUACCUCCAUUCUGGUUUGCAAAGUGGCGUUGACAUAUAAAGUUUUAAAGACAGCAAGAAGCAAUCUGGAGUUAGG